rnacentral:rRNA from 1 species
UAGGGAAUCUUCGGCAAUGGACGAAAGUCUGACCGAGCAACGCCGCGUGAGUGAAGAAGGUUUUCGGAUCGUAAAACUCUGUUGUUAGAGAAGAACAAGGACGUUAGUAACUGAACGUCCCCUGACGGUAUCUAACCAGAAAGCCACGGCUAACUACGUGCCAGCAGCCGCGGUAAUACGUAGGUGGCAAGCGUUGUCCGGAUUUAUUGGGCGUAAAGCGAGCGCAGGCGGUUUCUUAAGUCUGAUGUGAAAGCCCCCGGCUCAACCGGGGAGGGUCAUUGGAAACUGGGAGGCUUGAGUGCAGAAGAGGAGAGUGGAAUUCCAUGUGUAGCGGUGAAAUGCGUAAAUAUAUGGAGGAACACCAGUGGCGAAGGCGGCUCUCUGGUCUGUAACUGACGCUGAGGCUCGAAAGCGUGGGGAGCAAACAGG